GUACGCCAGAGAAGCAGCACAGCCAACACUGCCAAGAGAUGCAGAUGGUGGCACUGCCGGUUCUUCUUCCGCAAAUCCACCGACACUAAGGCGCCCAUCACAGGGCUCGGUUACUGUGGCAACGAGGCCACCCAAGAGACGCCGUCUUGAGGCUCCAGCACCAGCAUCACCACCCCAACGGCGCAUCUCCGCAGUGUCGGCCGUGCCACCACUAGCUCUAUUGGCCAGCCCCCAAAGUGAGGAUCCACAAUCCCCUCAGUUGUCUGACCCAGGCAUCAUCACCGAGGAUGCCCAGCAGGAACGUGACCAGGAGACCUUCACACUCCACCUGCAGCCCAUCGAUCCGACUCAGACAACCACGCCGCAGGACAUACCCCAACCACCCCACAGCCCCCAAUUAAGCACAACACAAGUUGACACACAAAUGGGCCCUGAGUUUUGGAGCCGUUGGUCGUCACAACAGGCGCAAUACUGCGCAAACCUCAACACCCACAGCCAAUACCUGGCAAGUCUGCCCCAUCAUUUGCCUAGACUGAGUCGCAACUCAGGCAGACUUAUAGUGCAGGUGGGCCGAAUCGCUAACUCCAUGGAACAGAUGAGGGCAGACAACACCCAAAUGCAGUCAAACCUCCAACGCAUCUUGGAUGAUCAGCAGCGGCAGCAACAAUCACUUAUACAGAUAAUACAACACAACCAAAUGAUCAACGACAACCUCUCACGCAUGAUAGCUAACAACACUGCCGCUAACACUCAGCUCACAGCAAGCUUGAACAAUCUAAGCCAAAGCCUUAGUGUGUUGGCAUCACACCAUGCCACAUCUAGUUCUGGGACAACGACACCAAGCCACACCCCAGUUCAUUCCCCAGUCCGACGCUCAAGUCGAACCCGCACCAAUGAUCCAGCACAAUCCUCAGCACCCAGCACACAAAAAAAAACAUUAAUAAUGUUCGGUCAGAAUAUAUUGACCAUUACAGUGUUUUUUCUUUUAG